UGUGAGGUGGUGCAAUGGUAGCAUAUUAGGCUCAUUCCCUAAUGCUCUGGGUUCGAUUCCCAGCCUCGCUACUAA
rnacentral:tRNA from 1 species